rnacentral:rRNA from 1 species
AAUCAACGCUGGCGGCGUGCCUAACACAUGCAAGUCGAGCGAGAAAAGGGGGGCAACUCCCUGAGUACAGCGGCGCACGGGUGAGUAACACGUGGGUAAUCUGCCCUGAAGUGGGGAAUAACACCGGGAAACCGGUGCUAAUACCGCAUAUGAUCACGAUGUCUGCGGACGUAGUGAUGAAAGGAGCAAUUCGCUUCAGGAGGAGCCCGCGGCUGAUUAGCUAGUUGGUGAGGUAAUGGCUCACCAAGGCAACGAUCAGUAUCCGGUCUGAGAGGACGGUCGGACACACUGGAACUGAGACACGGUUCAGACUCCUACGGGAGGCAGCAGUGGGGAAUCUUUCGCAAUGGGGGAAACCCUGACGAAGCAACGCCGCGUGGGUGAUGAAGUCUCUUGGGACGUAAAACCCUUUCGACAGGGAAGAAACCGCAAGGUUGACGGUACCUGUAGAAGAAGCCCCGGCUAACUCCGUGCCAGCCGCCGCCGUAA